UACGGAGGGGGCUAGCGUCGUUCGGAAUUACUGGGCGUAAAGCGCACGUAGGCGGCGAUAUAAGUCAGGGGUGAAAGCCUGGAGCUCAACUCCAGAACUGCCCUUGAGACUGUAUUGCUAGAAUCUGGGAGAGGUGAGUGGAAUUCCGAGUGUAGAGGUGAAAUUCGUAGAUAUUCGGAAGAACACCGGUGGCGAAGGCGGCUCUCUGGCCCUCUGUUGACGCUCAUGUGCGAAAGCGUGGGGAGCAAACAGG
rnacentral:rRNA from 1 species